UGGUUAACUUAAAAAUAAGGCUAAAUUACAGAACCCCCUUGUAAUAACCCGCUUUUUUACUUUUCCUCCCUGACAUUUAAAAACCUACACUUUGCCCCCCUGUAAAAUAAAAAAUAUGCACUUCACCCCCUAUCGUUAGGGUUCCGUCAGGGUUCCGUUAAAAAAUAUAUUUUUAUGCCGAAAAUACCCCUCCGCCAUCUCCCUGUUGCUUCGACUCCCUCCGGCUCGCCACCUCGCCGCCGCCUCGCCGCCUCGCCGCCUAGCCACCUCGCCGUCCUCCACUGCCUCGCCCUCACCCACAUCCCCUUCGCCGUCCUCCGCCGCUUCGCCUUCGCCUUCUUUGCCCUUCUCCUACUGUCGCCCACCUCGGCUUUCUCCUACUGUCGCCGAAAUCGAGGGCGGCGAGGGUGCAGGAGGAGAAGGGGAGCAGGUGAAGAAGGAAAUGGAGAGAAAUCGCGACCGAUUGAUGUGGGAAUCGCGGCCGAACGAAGGGGCGGCUGAGGAAGAUGGGAAAGAAGACGACAAUGGCGAGGGGCAAAAUGGUCAUUUUACACACCGUAACCCCCCUGUGAACAUUUUUCAUUUUACAGGGGGGCAAAGUGUAGGUUUUUAAAUGUCAGGGAGGGAAAGUGAAAAAGCGAGUUAUUACAGGGGGGUUUUCUGUAAUUUAGCCUAAAAAUAAUUUUGGUUAGUAAGCUCCUAAAUAUGAAAAGAUCUACUUCUUUUCUGGUGAUGUACAUAAAUCUUUAGGCUCCGUUUGGUUCGGGAAUUAGUAGGAACUAUUUAUACCAGGGAUAGGUACAAGUAUGGAUUUUUGUAAGAAUAAGGGUAUUUUUUUGUUCGAAUAAAAAUGUGAGUAUAAGCUGGAACUUGAAAAAUUACGUUUGAAUGGUUAUUUGGAAUAAGAUGAAUAGUUGUUAGUUAUAAUGAUAUUAUCCCUAUAAUUGAAUUUAAAUUUUUUAUAUUUUAAACUUAUAAUUAAAUUUUUAUAUUUUAAACUUAUAAUUUUAAAUUGAAAAUUAAAAAUUUUAACUUUUUAAUUUUAAAAUUUGAAAUUAAAAUUUAAAAUUAUAAUUUUAAAUAUCAAAUUUUAAAUUUAAGACCAAAUUUAAUUUUCAAAAAUAUAAAAUAGCAAUUUUAAAAUUUAAAAACUAAAAUAUUCAAAUUUUAAAAUUUAAAAUUUAAAAAUAUCAAAUUUAAAAUUUAAACUUUAAAUUUUAUAAUUUUAAAUUAUAAAUUUAAAUUUUAAAAUUAUAAAUUUUAAAAAUUUAAAUUUAAAUUUAAAAUAAAAUUCUCUCUCUCUCUCUCUCUCUCUCGCUCUCUCUCUCUCUCUCUCUCUCUCCCCCCAAUGGGUGGGAACAAACUUGUUCAAGCUUGUUCCCACCCGGGGUGGGAACUGCUGUUCCCACCCCCCACCCUUAGCGGGUUAUCCCGGGUGGGAACAAUAAUUCCCACCUAGAUUGAAUCUUGUUUGGGUACAAGAUAGGGUAAAAGCCUCUUAUACCCCAUUUUGUACCCAUUCCAAACAGGGUGUUAGAAUUGAAGAAUUAGCUGAAUGCAUUAGAAUAGAAAAGAAAAAGACCGAUUUUAUUGUGUUUUAAAGCUUCACAAAAUCACGCGCAAAAUGUUUCUCAGAAAUAACUAUUUACUUAUAGUAACUUU
rnacentral:lncRNA from 1 species